rnacentral:tRNA from 1 species
GUGCCGGUGGCUGAAUGGUAUACGAGAUCGCUUGCCUUGUAACCAGAAGGUCCUGGGUUCGAACCCCAGUUGGUACG